rnacentral:lncRNA from 1 species
GGUUAUUGCUUUGAUAAUGAAAUUAGGUGAUUUGCUAGAAUUCUAUGAUUAAAUCCCUAACUUGGGUUAGCAAAAUGUAUAAUUUAGGUUAGCAAAAUCCCCUUACACAAAUGAAGAAGAAAGAGGAUGAUUAAAAAUGAUUUAAUUUGAGCAUAAAAUCUCCUUCUGCAGAUGAAGAAGAAACGACCAAGAUGAAGAAAAAUGAAUAAUUUGCAGAUGAAGAAGAACAGACGAACAAAAUGAACAGAUGAAGAACAAAAAUGAAUUUAUUUUAAAUUAAAUAAGUUAAUAAAUCAAAAGUAAUUAAUAUUUUAUACG